rnacentral:rRNA from 1 species
AGAGUUUGAUCCUGGCUCAGGACGAACGCUGGCGGCGUGCCUAACACAUGCAAGUGGAGCGACGACCCGGGCUUCGGCCCGGUGCAAAGCCGCGAACGGGUGAGUAACACGUGGGUAACCUGCCCUGAUGAUUGGGACAACCCGAGGAAACUCGGGCUAAUACCGAAUGUGCCCUCCGGCCGUAAGGCCUCUGGGGAAAGGAAGCUUCGGCCUCCGCAUUGGGAUGGGCCCGCGGCCCAUUAGCUUGUUGGUGAGGUAACGGCUCACCAAGGCGACGAUGGGUAGCUGGUCUGAGAGGACGAUCAGCCACACUGGGACUGAGACACGGCCCAGACUCCUACGGGAGGCAGCAGUGGGGAAUCUUGCGCAAUGCGCGAAAGCGUGACGCAGCAACGCCGCGUGGGGGAAGAAGGCCUUCGGGUUGUAAACCCCUUUCAGUUGGGACGAAGCUCCGGCGGUGAAUAGCCGUCUGGAGUGACGGUACCUUCAGAAGAAGCCCCGGCUAACUACGUGCCAGCAGCCGCGGUAAUACGUAGGGGGCAAGCGUUGUCCGGAAUCAUUGGGCGUAAAGAGCGUGUAGGCGGCUUGGUAAGUCCGCUGUGAAAGUCCAGGGCUCAACCCUGGAAUGCCGGUGGAAACUGUCAAGCUUGAGUCCGGAAGAGGCGAGUGGAAUUCCUGGUGUAGCGGUGAAAUGCGCAGAUAUCAGGAGGAACACCAAUGGCGAAGGCAGCUCGCUGGGACGGUACUGACGCUGAGACGCGA